rnacentral:rRNA from 1 species
GACGAACGCUGGCGGCGUGCCUAAUGCAUGCAAGUCGAACGAGAGCAACCGGUGCUUGCACUGGUCAAUCUAGUGGCGAACGGGUGAGUAACACGUGGGUAACCUGCCCAUCAGAGGGGGAUAACAUCCGGAAACGGAUGCUAAAACCGCAUAGGUCUUCGAACCGCAUGGUUUGAAGAGGAAAAGAGGCGCAAGCUUCUGCUGAUGGAUGGACCCGCGGUGCAUUAGCUAGUUGGUGAGGUAACGGCUCACCAAGGCCGUGAUGCAUAGCCGACCUGAGAGGGUGAUCGGCCACAUUGGGACUGAGACACGGCCCAAACUCCUACGGGAGGCAGCAGUAGGGAAUCUUCCGCAAUGGACGCAAGUCUGACGGAGCAACGCCGCGUGAGUGAAGAAGGUUUUCGGAUCGUAAAACUCUGUUGUUAGAGAAGAACAAGUGCUAGAGUAACUGUUAGCGCCUUGACGGUAUCUAACCAGAAAGCCACGGCUAACUACGUG